rnacentral:other from 1 species
UAUUGCCUGAGGUGCCCGUAACCUCUUAUAUGUUCAACCGACUCAUUUACCUGGGGAGUUUGAUGUUAUGCAGCUGCCAAGCCUCCUAAGAGUGGACGGCAAAAGCAUAAAUACAAAAACGCCCACCUGCGAGAAGCGGGUAUUGAACAUACGAGAGAACGGUACGUUGGGCUUACA